rnacentral:lncRNA from 1 species
AUUAUGCCUUGGUUGCAGGAAGGCUGGCAAGCAGUGCUUGAAGUUAAUUGAGCCUAAUUCUUCCCAGUGUAUAUAUGUAGAUAAUGUUUUACUCUGUAAAAUGCGUAUUAGCCUACUUCUCUAGCGUCUAAGCUUGAUAUCAGUGAUGUUUGGUGUAACUUUGGAAAAAAAGAGGCACUAGAAAAUUUGUUGUGGGAGGAAAAGUGUAAAUGUUUAACACCUUGUUUCACACCCCUGCUUAACAUCUUCUGGUUUUUGUUAUUAAUGAAAACGCUUGCAAGCCUACCUCAUAGGAGAUAACCUGCUCCUGUUUAUAAUUUCAAGAAAAGAAUAACACUGACCUUCACUGUGUGAUCACUUCCAUUACAGUUUGGUAUCACAAACAGCAGGCUUUUGAAAUAAAUGUUGGCACAGGCAUUCAGAAAUUCAUACUCUAUAUGUGAUACAUACAUACAAAGCCUGUGUUUAUUCUUCUUUUUGAAAAGCCUGAAGAUUUAUCUUGAGGAAAUCCUUGGCUGACUGGGAGAACUUCCAAAAUGUUUUGCCAGAGAGAUGUCACCAUGCCACCUGGUUCUAAGGAAGUUCCAAAAAUACCUUCUUCAGGGGGAAUGAAACAAAUAACCCUUUCCUCAGAGCUGCCUACAGUGACAUCUCCUAAUUGCUCAGAAUUUAGUUUUAUUUUCUUUGGAAGCUGUCCUCAUCUGAAACCUAAAACCGUGAGCCAGCCUGCCAUCUCCUUAGUGACACAAUCUUUCUCCAAAUUUAUUCAUUCAUACAUCCCACUCCAUUGUUGUAUUCUACUUUUGUCACAUACUUAAUUUUCCAAACAAUUUUGUGUAUAACAGAUUUGUCUGACAAAUCUUAUGAUUUUAGUUCUAGUAUCCGUACAUAAUCUAUUUACUUCUUGAUUUGCUGUUUGUUGUUGUUUGGUUUUGUUUUUUAUAACUCCUUCUAAAUGCCAUAGAACACCUGUACAACAAAAUGGAAAGUCAUAUGUGGUUACUAGUUAAUUCUUAUUUAUUAAAUGGCUCUACAUUUAAAAGGAAGAAGGGGUAGAAUUUAGCUUUAGUCAGUAUCUUUUAUUUUUUCCUCUGGAUCCUUUUUCCCAGUGGCCAACAAUAAAAUAACAAACGCUGCAUGGAAUUCUAUUUUG